UAAUACGUCAUGAAGUGGAAUAAUCUAGAUUCUUCUUUUACAAAGAGGUAAAACAGAGGGUAUAGAAACAGAGACUAAGAGACCAAGAGUCUUAAUUAAGGAGGUUUGGUAUACCACUUAACCCUAAUCAAUCCACUACUUACUUGAUAAAGACAUAUUCUCAUCAUGUAUAUUUGAUUAGAUUAGCUAGGCUCGUAAUAUGGGACAAAACCCCGAAGAUGAGCAAGAAAUGCUUUGAAAGAUUUUAUCGUAGCAUGAGUGUCAUAUCUGCACCCUUCAGUGCUCCCUUGUAAAAUCAAAGUAUCUGAGUAUAGAUACUUAAUAGGUUUAAGUGUUCUUCGAUCUUGGACGAUAUGUUCCAACUUAUACUGAUACAGAGGGUCACGACAUACAUACUAUAAUUGAUAGAGAGUAUUAUCGUCAUCGUGGAUUCAGGUUUUUCCAAGGACGAUAGAUACAUGGCCGGCCCUAUAGACAUCAACAAGAAACUUUUGAUGUAACCCAAAUUUUGUUUCUGAAAUUCUUCAACAAAAAUUAUUUAUGAAACAGACCUAAUUUUAUUUA